ACCUGAUGCAGCCAUGCCGCGUGUGUGAAGAAGGCCUUCGGGUUGUAAAGCACUUUCAGUUGUGAGGAAAGGUUAACGGUUAAUACCCGUUAGCUGUGACGUUAGCAACAGAAGAAGGACCGGCUAACUCCGUGCCAGCAGCCGCGGUAAUACGGAGGGUCCGAGCGUUAAUCGGAAUUACUGGGCGUAAAGCGCACGCAGGCGGUUUGUUAAGCUAGAUGUGAAAGCCCUGGGCUCAACCUGGGAAUUGCAUUUAGAACUGGCAGGCUAGAGUUUUGGAGAGGGGAGUGGAAUUCCAGGUGUAGCGGUGAAAUGCGUAGAUAUCUGGAGGAACAUCAGUGGCGAAGGCGACUCCCUGGUCAGUAACUGACGCUCAUGUGCGAAAGUGUGGGUAGCGAACAGGAUUAGAUACCCUGGUAGUCCACACCGUAAACGCUGUCUACUAGCUGUUUGUGGAUUUAAUCCGUGAGUAGCGAAGCUAACGCGAUAAGUAGACCGCCUGGGGAGUACGGCCGCAAGGUUAAAACUCAAAUGAAUUGACGGGGGCCCGCACAAGCGGUGGAGCAUGUGGUUUAAUUCGAUGCAACGCGAAGAACCUUACCUACUCUUGACAUACUGAGAACUUAGCAGAGAUGCUUUGGUGCCUUCGGGAACUCAGAUACAGGUGCUGCAUGGCUGUCGUCAGCUCGUGUCGUGAGAUGUUGGGUUAAGUCCCGCGACGAGCGCAACCCCUGUCCUUAGUUGCCAGCCUUAAGUUGGGCACUCUAAGGAGACUGCCGGUGACAAACCGGAGGAAGGUGGGGGACGACGUCAAGUCAUCAUGGCCCUUACGAGUAGGGCUACACACGUGCUACAAUGGCGAGUACAGAGGGAAGCAAACU
rnacentral:rRNA from 1 species